rnacentral:rRNA from 1 species
GACGAACGCUGGCGGCGUGCCUAAUACAUGCAAGUCGAACGCUGAAGCGAGGUGCUUGCUCUUCUUGGAUGAGUUGCGAACGGGUGAGUAACGCGUAGGUAACCUGCCUUGUAGCGGGGGAUAACUAUUGGAAACGAUAGCUAAUACCGCAUAACAAUGGAUGACACAUGUUAUUUACUUGAAAGGGGCAAUUGCACCACUACAAGAUGGACCUGCGUUGUAUUAGCUAGUGGGUGAGGUAACGGCUCACCAAGGCGACGAUACAUAGCCGACCUGAGAGGGUGUCCGCCCACCCUGGGAUGAGACACGGGCCAGGCUUCCUACGGGGGGCACAGGAAGGGAACUUUCGCAAAGGGAGGGAAGCCGGACCGGGAAAGGCGGCGGGGGUGAGGAAGGUUUCGGAACCGUAAAGCUUGUUUUAAGGCGAAGACGGGGUGGGGGGUUGGAAAGUCACACUUGGGCGGGAACUUAACAAGAAAGGGCGGCUUACUUAGGG